GGAACAUGCUGGCCUGAGCCCCGUGGGGACCCUAGCAGGGUUAUGGAGGGCUAAUACAAGAGAUGUGGAGAUAGAUGGGAGUUUGGGUCACUUAUAUCCCAACUGGGCUUUGAGAAGGGACCUCAAAGUAAAUUAGUGAACAACAAGCAACACUGGUGCACAGGGAACAGCUUUUUGGCCACAAAAAAACCCACAAGUGUGUUAAUGGGAGCAAAGGAUGAGAAUAAACCCUCUCCUUCCACUGGAGAAUACUGAUGGGAACCGCCUGCCUCUUAUAAUAGCUUUCCUAGCCAUCGUCUGCAUUUGUGCAGCACUCUCAUUUACUUAGACUGAGCAGUGGUCGGCACCAUUUUGCAUGUUUUUAUUUUCCCCAUUUUCCAGAAUAAGAUGCAGACCAAAGAGUUAAUCACUUUCCUGAGGAUGCAGGACUCAGCUUUUCUGAUGCAGGCCCCAUAUUCUUUCUGCUCUGGUGCAGCCCCCUCCUAGCUUUCGUCAACCCAUGCUGAGACCAGAGCUCCAGGAUGAGAAGGAUACUCACACAGUGGCUGCCCUGCCCAGGGCUGUACCACAGGCUCUUGGCCCAGGAUCUCUGAUCUCUGCUAAGCCUGAACUACAACAAACAGCUCAGGAAAGCAACACAGAAGCAAGCCCUGGACCCUGAGAGAAGAAAGUUCUUGUACCAAGGUUGGAUCUGGCCCACACAGGAGGGACAGAGACUGGAGGGAAGGAGCUAACAAGAUGAGAGAGGCCAGGCUUGUCCAUGAAUGGCUCCAUCAAGGUGCGAUGCAAGGCACCUCCUGGGAUCAUGCAGGGAGUGAGACAGAGGCGUGGGGUGAGCUGUGCUGGAGUGGGCAUAAGGUGCAGGUCAGGGAAGAAGCUGAGUUCCCAAGACCC
rnacentral:lncRNA from 1 species